rnacentral:lncRNA from 1 species
UAAACAACCAUAAGAUUGAUCUUUAAAUCCUUUUUUUUUUUUUUUGAUAGAAAGAUAGCAUGCUACAUGCUUCAUUCAUUAGGUAAAUAAACUUAGCUACAUAGGGUGAGAUAGCGAGGGCCUCAGGAAGACGACUAAACGAAGGAGAAAGGAACUAAAAGAAGAACAAAAAAGAACAACAAAGAACUACAACAAACGUACCCGACUCUGCAAAAAUCGGCCCACUUUUUUGCUAGAACUCCAAUACGAUGAGCAGUAGAGAUAGCAUUCGUGGGUAUGUUUCGAAAAAUAACAUUAUUUCUUUCGCAUCAAAUCGUCCACCAGAUAGCCACCACAAGGAUUCGAGGCUUCAAAGUGUCAAUCUGUGACUCUCUCCUCACCAGCUCUUUCCAAACGAACUUGGCGUCCUCGCAUGACGGGUAGACGUAGGGCGCCUCUU